AUCGAACGCUGGCGGCAGGCCUAACACAUGCAAGUCGAACGAGUGGCGCACGGGUGAGUAAUGUCUGUGAAACUGCCCGAUGUAGGGGGUUAACUAUUGGAAACGGUAGCUAAUACCGCAUACCAUCGGAUGUUCCCAGAGGGGAGUAGCUAGUAGGUGGGGUAAGGGCUCACCUGGGCGACGAUCCCUAGCUGGUGUGCGAGGAUGACGAGCGAGACGGGAAAUGAGGCACGGUCCAGACUCCUAAGGGAGGCAGGAGUGGGGACUAUGGCACAAUGGGCGCAAGCCUGAUGAAGCCAUGCCGCGUGCAUGAAGAAGGCCUUCGGGUUGUACAGGACGUAAAGCGAGGAGGCGUUACGCGCAGAAGAAGCACCGGCUAACUCCGUGCCAGCAGCCGCGGUAAUUC
rnacentral:rRNA from 1 species